rnacentral:rRNA from 1 species
UACGGAGGAUGCAAGCGUUAUCCGGAAUGAUUGGGCGUAAAGCGUCCGCAGGUGGCAAUGUAAGUCUGCUGUUAAAGAGUCUAGCUCAACUAGAUAAAAGCAGUGGAAACUACAUAGCUAGAGUACGUUCGGGGCAGAGGGAAUUCCUGGUGUAGCGGUGAAAUGCGUAGAGAUCAGGAAGAACACCAGUGGCGAAGGCGCUCUGCUAGGCCGUAACUGACACUGAGGGACGAAAGCUAGGGGAGCGAACAGG